rnacentral:tRNA from 3 species
GGGGUCGUGGUGUAGCUGGUCUAACACGCUGGCCUGUCACGCCGGAGACCACGGGUUCAAAUCCCGUCGAUCCCGCCA